GCGACACAUCCUUGUCUUUGAGGCUGAGCCGACAGAAAUUUCUUCUUCCAGUUUGAGAAUGACCAGUCAGCUAUGUUCCCGGCUCCUCUUGCAUUUAUUGGAACCGGCUUACCCAACAAUCCACAAAGGAGCUUACACGGAGGAAAGUGAAGCUGUGGGAACGCGCCCAGACCUCUAUUAAUACUGGUCUAUUGGAGACCCCUCCUGGCCACGCUGUCAGAGCCACUGACUCCCAAAGCCCGGGUCCCCACUCCCCCCUCCAGCCCCGCCCCCAGCCGGGCCCCCUGUGCGGAAGCAGCAGCAGGGGGUCCUGAUCCCGGGUGAGCCCUGUGCAGCCCAGCCGGGAGCUGAGCCGGGAGCGCAGAGGCUGCCACUGACCGUGACGAUCUCCAGCACUUCGUUCUUGCUGAUGCUGCCAUUGCCAUCUACAUCGUAGAGGGAGAAGGCCCACUCCAGCUUCUGGUUGGUCUUGCACAUGCUGGUCAUGUGCAGGGCGAUGACAUACUCCUUGAAGUCCAAGGUGCCAUCGCUGUUGGCAUCGAAGCUGCGGAACACGUGCUGGGCGUAGGCCUUGGGGUCGGCGUCAGGGAAGAACUUGGAGUAGAUGGUCUGGAACUCCUGCCGGGUGAUGCGGCCACUGGGGCACUCCUUCAGGAAGGACUGGUACCAGGUACUCAGCUCUUCCUCUGUGAACCUGGUGUUCAGCUGCAGCUCCUCCAGGAUCUCCUUGGACAGGGCUCCGCUUUUGCUGUUCCCCAUGGGUGAGCAGGUGUGGGCCCAGCCGGUCUGUUGCCGCUGGGUGGGUGGGUGUGUGGGAGGAAUGGGGUCUCCGGGCUGCCUAGCUGGGUGCUGCUGGAGGCGGUUGCACCCUGAGAUGCUGGUGGAUUAGGAGGAUUUGUGGCUGGUUCACCCCUGUACUUGGAGGGAGGAGGGGCCCGGAGCUUGAGUGGGGAGAUGAGCUCCCGGAAGCCCCCUGAGAUUAAAAUAAAGAGCUGACAGCAGGAGGUCAAUCCCUCUUGGCCUUCUGGGAGGAUAGGACAGGUGAUCCGAAUCUUCAGAGCCAAAGCCUUGAGCCGAGGCCUUUCCCACUGCCCCUCACCCAUCCCUGCGCCAACUUAGCCCACCAGCUCUAGCUCUCUAAGAGCAACGAUGUUCCCUGCCUGCCUUCUGCCCUACAUCUGAGGGUCUCAGCGACAGGGAUGGCCCUGUAAUGCAGGGGUCAGGAGCCAGGCUCUGGAAGCAGCCCAGGUUCAAAUCUCAGCUUUGCAAUUCACUAGCUGUGUGACCCCAGGUGCGUUUCUUAACGUCUCUCUGCCUAGAAUUCUCUUCCCCUAAUCUUUCACCUCCUUCACGGCUUUCCUUAAAUGCCGCCUUCUCAGCCAGGCCUAUAGUGACCAUUCUGUCAACAAGAGCACCCCAACCGUCAGGCUGUUUAUCCUGCUUGACUGCUCUUCCUUGAUCGCCCGUGCACCUUCUGACUUACUGUUUACGUAUUCUGCCUGCUGCCUGGGAUCGCACCAGAAUGAAAGCGCCAUGAAGGCGGGGAUUCUGUCUGUUUUGUUGCCCGCUGCAUCUCCAUCGACAGAAGGGUAUCUGGCGGGUUUGGGCCCUCAGUGACUAUUCUUUGAGUGAACAGGCAUGAUAAUAGCAUCUCUCCCACUGUUAUUGUGAGGCUGAAACGAGUUAAUACGUGCAAUGCAUUUAGAAUAGAGCCUGGCACGUAGUAAGAGCUGAACGCAUGUUAGUUUUUGCCAUUCUUCUUCUAUGACAGGGAUCAAAAACUAAACUGCUUACAGGGGCCAGCAAGUGGAGUGUGUGAGUGAAGCCGGGGGUCAGGGAGGCAGUAGGCAUGGUGAGGCCCACGCCUGCAUGGCAGGGGCUGCCGGUGUUUGACUCCAUUUGAACGUGGUCAGAUGGGAUUAUGGCCUGGUGUUACUAGAUUUUUUGGUAAGCCAAAAGAAAUCCAGAAAUCAGAUUUUCAGGUUUGAAAAUUGCAAUUUGGAAAUUUGGAAAAAUUGGAAAUCUGCAAUUUCCAAACUUUAAGAGUGAUUUCCAAAUUUUCAAAAAUUUUCAAAAACAUAGGGUGGGAUAAAUAUAACUUAUCUGUGGCUCCGUUUCAGCAGCAGGUCAUCAGUUUGCAACCAAGCCUGGUGCCAGGAGCUGGCAGACAACAUGCUUGUUGAGUGAGUGACUGGACAAGCAGGGGACAGGGAGCUCCACCAGGGGAGGCGUCCACCGCUGCGGUCAGCUCGGUCAGCAGAACAGGCCACAGGGAAGAGCCCUCGUGAGUAGGUUUACACCUGAAAUUGCAUCACCCAAAGGAGAGGUCGGUGGCGCCCUGGCUUGGCUGGGCGUAACGCCUGGAACCCCAGAAUCGCCGUCUUGGACGGGAGAGAUGUCUCUUCUUUGUCCAGGGGUGGUAACUACAAAGAACAAAGCCCACAGCGUCUAGGCGGGUGAGUCGGGGUUUUUAUCCUAUUUCAUAACAGGCUAAUGGCAGGGGAAAGCAGGUCCCCGCUGCUGGGAGAAAGCCCCCUGCCAGCCUCCCCUGGUGUUGCUCAGAAAGGUCCCGGAAGUUCAGGCACAGAUGUGCUGGCCUCUCCCUCCUGCCCACCCCACCCACUGCGGGUCCAGAGUGUUUCUCAGGAGGCCUUCAUGUUAGGGGGUGGGGUGCGUAUGUGUGUGUCAUUAUUUUUUCCCAUCAGUUUGUGACAGCAUAUCAUUUCUUGAAAGGAGCCCUUUCUCUCUGUCUAGACUUUCACUAUCUUGCAGCAUUUGUUCUCCAGAGCAGUUGGAAACAGGACAGUCACUGGACUCAAAAACAAACAAACAAACAAAAGCCAGGCCAUGAAAGUGAGGCCAGAGGCCUUCACCCUGGCCUCUGAACCUGGCAUGAGAGGUGAUUAGAAGUGCCUCCUGGGUAUCCACACCGAGACUGCAGGUGAGGCGAGGCCGAUGUCACAGGAAGAAACCAAGCUCCAAAAGGAUGCCACCUGCCUGUGUCGCACAGUUGCCAAAUGGCGAAGCCAGGAGGAAAGCCCAGGGCAGCCUCCCCACUGAGGGCUCUUUUCAAGACAUUACAGCCGCCUCCCUUCUCAAGAAGGCCUGAGCAGAGGGCUCAAGAAGCCGCAUUUCUGAAGGUGAGGACCUGGGUUGCCAUGACGACGGAAGAGGCGGGUAGGGAGGCAGGGCCCCGGCCUAACACAGAAGGCAGCCAGAGCUCCCCCAGUCCCUCUGCCCUUCCCAAGGGCAAGGAGGAAGGAGCAGGUACUGUCCACAUUCUUCAGGUUGCUGUGCCCAGGAGAGGCCCAACCGUGGGAGGGGACCACAGGCAGCUGUGUUGAUGCUGCUGAGAGAGGGGUCAUGACCUGGAGGUUUGUUUGAAAACCUGAAUAAACAUCUUCUAUCAGAGGGAGAGUUUAUGCUCCUUAGCCAAACAAGUUGUUGGGGAUGAUGUAUUGUGAACGGAUUUGUUAAGUCUGAGCCGGGGCCAUAAACUCUCCCCAAACCCCUAAGACCACUGGGGAGAAGGCCUCGUCUCUGGCCAGUGACUCUGUGUCUCCCCCUCCCGGCCUGGCCUUCACUGAAAGACACAGGCUCUUCCCAGAGGGUGGCCCUGUCCCACCCCAAGCUGGGAGUCCCCCAGCUCCCAUCCCGUUCCUCUACCUUCCCCUGCGUGAGCUGAACGGCAAGCGGACCCUUCGACCCCGGCCAGGAAGCAGAGAGCUAGAAAAUAAGUUCCAUGAGGUCAGGGUUCUUGAUCUGUUUUCAUCACUGAUGUGUUCCCAGUACUGAGAGCAGUGUCUGACAUACAGUGGUGUUCAAUAAUUAUUGGAUGGAUGGAUGGAUGGAUGGGUAAGAGAAGAAAUAACAGCCAGGAGCCUCUUCCGUUCACAGGUACAGAAGUCUCCAGGGGAGGGGACUGGGGCCAGGGGUGUGGGUCUGACAGUGUGAUACCCAUCGGGGGGUGGGGGGGGGUCAAUGCCCAGGUGCCCUUUGUCCCUCUGCUAAGUCAUCGGGGGUAAAAUUAUAACCAAGCCUGGGAGUAUGGGAGGAACGCUGAGCCCAUUUGUACAAAGGCGAGUGUGGCAGCCCUCCAGGGAAGAGGGUUGCCCAGUGGGACGACUCAGUGUCUCUGGACAGUUUAUUUUACAUGGGAUGAAUCUAAGCAUCUCAAGUGUACACACAGCGCCGAAGGAAAAAAAAAAAAGAGAACAUUUAACUUCCUGAAAAUGCUUUAUAAUAAUGCAGAACAAUUAUAUAUAGCAAACGCCUUCAAAAUUUAAACCCUUUAAACAUUUAACUUUUCAGCAUUAAUACACACAAAUGCUAUUACGGGGCUCGGGUGGGGUGGGGACAGGGUGGGAAGGGUGGAUUACAGCCUCCAUAGGGAUCAGAGUUUCAAGAGUGUUACUUAUAAAUUAUAGUACAUCAAUUUUAUUUACUGAUCUAGGCAGCCAGGGGAUGGGAGGAUAUACAGUGUGGAGUAAACACAUUCAUUCUGGGAGGAGGAAUGCUGGAGGAGACACCGCUGUUUAACGUUAAAAAUGUAUAAAGUAUUUAGCAAAAGUUACAGAAAACAGAGCAAACAAGCAAGUCUGUUAGAAAAUUCCACUUUCAUGGGGUUUGCUGAUGUGCUCGUUUGUGAAAGGGCUGCCCACCCCCUUCAUCUCCUUCCUAAGGGCAGAGAUGCAAAUUUGGGGCCCCUGUCACCAAGGAUGGCUCGUGUCCCUUUGAAUGACUGUCCCUGGGUCCACAUGGCUGCCUGGAGGCCACAGUCCCGAGAGCCAGUCUGCUGCCGCGUGUGGCGCCGGAUGGGGAGCAACUCCACUCGGUAACACACGGGUCCCGGGAGGGGAUGUGACUUAACUUCAGGUUAUGGGACAAAUGAGACAGCAGAGCAGGGCCAGUCCGGUGCUCUUGCCCUGGUACCAUAUGCUUUCCUUCCUCAUCCCCAUGUCACACUGUCCCUAGGAGAGCACGCAUGUGCCUGACCCCCUGCAUCCCACCGCUGCAAUCCCAUUAGGAAUUUCCCUCAGACACAAAGGGUCAAUUCCCCUGAACAGCACAUAGAGAUCCAAGUUCAUCACAGCCCCUCUUCCCUCAGAGGCACCUCCCAACAAAGGCACCCAACAGCCACGCCCCAGCAUCUAGGGGGUUAGGGGAAAUGGAACAUUGGUUUUUGUCUCUUGUCUCGGUCUCACCCAAACCAGGAAAGGGGAGUUGGGUCCCUCACUUUCAGGAAAGGCCCGACAGGAAUGACUUUCAUGGUGUGAAAGUCUUUCGUGGUCCCUGGCAGCGUGGGGCCCUGUGACUUGGGUUCCAUGGCCCAUACCUUCACCUGGCCUGGACCCAAGAAUGUCUUCCAUUUGCUGGGAGAGGUGCUGGUUGCCUUCCGGGGCUCAACUUUCACUGAGCAGGGCACGAUCAGGAUGUGCCUGGAGGAGUUCUUACCUUGGGGGUCAGGCCCAGAGCUGACCAGUGUCAGCUGGGUGUGGCCCUCUCUCUGCCACCAUCCAGUACAGUGAGGGCACAGGCCAGGUGAGCAAAGUUCCGGCAGCGACAAGCACCUGAAGGGAGGGGGCCGUGUCUUCAUGCCUGUUUAUGCUCCUUGGAAGUGACUUUCAGGACAUGGUGUCAAAACUUGGUGGAGGAAAAUUAAUGGCUUCUGCUUUCUUUAGGGGUCCAAGGAGGAACUACCUCAUUCUCAACAGCUCACGAAACUCGUAAGUUUUUGUGUCUGAACAGAGAAGCGCCUGGGUAUCCCUCUCAUGAGGGUGUUAGGUGACAUCACGCACAGCCGUGCUGACGGGACACAGAUUGGGCAUGACGUGGGCACAGGGUACAAAACUGGAGGUGCCAAGGGGAGGAGACAGAACGCAGCAGCUGGAGGAGGCCUGGGAGACCGUCUAGAACGAACACCUUCAGUCUGCCGAUGAAGGAACAGAGAUCCAGGAGAGGGUGGUGAUGGGCUCCCUGUCUUCUCAUCCACGCUCCCUCCACCCACCUUCCACACCCUCUAACCCUCACCAAAUGGCAGGGACUGGGCGAGUUGAAGGGAGGGUCCCCAGAAGCAAGCAGAACUACCAGCUGAGAUGCCAGCGGAAAUGGAGGGCAGUGGAGACCCUGCCCGCCCCCUCCCCCUGACCCC